GCUAAUGCAAUGACAGGGAAGAGUACAUGCAGAAUUCUCAAAGAGAGCCGGAGGCUGGUGGGAAUCCGGAAGAUGAAUGUAUGGAACGCAGCCCUUGAGCUUCACCUUGAAAAGCGGAGGCAGCUAAUGUGCUUCCGGAUUAAAGGUUGACGUGUCCUUACGUUAUAAAGGCACAGUAUGGAAUGUUCCAGCAGUUUCGGACAAAUGUACUGGCAGAGAGAACGCCGGUUGGCGUUAACCAGGGUGGUACCGCGAAUAACUUCUUCGUCCCUAUA
rnacentral:ncRNA from 1 species